rnacentral:misc_RNA from 1 species
GAUGAAGAACGUAGCGAAAUGCGAUAAGUAAUGUGAAUUGCAGAAUUCAGUGAAUCAUCGAAUCUUUGAACGCACAUUGCGCCCGCCAGUAUUCUGGCGGGCAUGCCUGUUCGAGCGUCAUUUCAACCAUCAAGCCCCAGGCUUAUGUUGGAGCCCUGCGGCUGCCGCAGCCUCCCAAAACCAGUGGCGGGCUCGCUAUCACACCGAGUGCAGUAGUUUACUCUUCGCUCAGGGCGUGUGGCGGGUGCUAGCCGUGAAACCCCCAACUUCUCAAGGUUGACCUCGGAUCAGGUAGGAAUACCCGCUGAACUUAAGCAUAUCAAUAAGCGGAGGA